GACGAACGCUGGCGGCGUGCUUAACACAUGCAAGUCGAACGGUGAAGGGACUGGUUUUGCUGGUCCUGGAUGAGUGGCGAACGGGUGAGUAACACGUGAGUAACCUGCCCCCUUCUUCUGGAUAACCGCAUGAAAGUGUUGCUAAUACGUGAUAUUCUGGGUCUGUCGCAUGGUGGGCCUGGGAAAGAUUGCGCCUUUUUUGGUGUUUUUGUUGUGGGAUGGGAUCGCGGCCUAUCAGCUUGUUGGUGGGGUGAUGGCCUACCAAGGCGGUGACGGGUAGCCGGGCUGAGAGGGUGGACGGUCACACUGGGACUGAGACACGGCACAGACUCCUACGGGAGGCAGCAGUGGGGAAUAAUGCACAAUGGGCGAAAGCCUGAUGCAGCGACGCCGCGUGAGGGAUGGAGGCCUUCGGGUUGUGAACCUCUUUCGCCAGUGAAGCAGGCCUGGCUCUUUUUGUGGGUGGGUUGACGGUAGCUGGAUAAGAAGCGCCGGCUAACUACGUG
rnacentral:rRNA from 1 species